rnacentral:rRNA from 1 species
UACGUAGGGGGCGAGCGUUGUCCGGAAUCAUUGGGCGUAAAGCGCGUGUAGGCGGCCCGGUAAGUCCGCUGUGAAAGUCCAGGGCUCAACCCUGGGAUGCCGGUGGAUACUGUCGGGCUGAGUCCGGAAGAGGCGAGUGGAAUUCCUGGUGUAGCGGUGGAAAUGCGCAGAUAUCGAGGAGGAACACCAAUGGCGAAGGCAGCUG